UGGAUCUACGGGCUCAGUGAUGUAGAGGUUUUAUCCAAUAAAAACAAGCAGGUAUUUUCAGGAAUAGAUGUUUUUUUCUAAUGUGGAAAUAUUUUAGUUGCAUGUCGUAUCCAAAGAAAAGUUUGUUUCUAUUGUAAUUCCUGAAGGAAAUAUCACAAUGUAACUAUCUGAAGGGUUUGUUUGGAUGAGGACAGAUUCUUUGUUAUCUAAAGUAUAGAGAUCUAGAUUUUCCAAAGUAACGUUUGGAAAGGAAAAGAACUCGUAUUUCCUCAACUUGAAGUUGUAUCCAAAGGAAUCGAUGCUGUAUCUCCUUGAGAAAUGCUUGUUCUUAAUAAAUGAAUACUUGCAUUCUCAGAAGCAGGAGUUGUACCUAAGGAAUCAACACAGUAUUUACAAAUGCAGAAGUUUG